UACGUAGGGAGCAAGCGUUGUUCGGAUUUACUGGGCGUAAAGGGCGCGUAGGCGGCGCGGUAAGUCACUUGUGAAAUCUCUGAGCUUAACUCAGAACGGCCAAGUGAUACUGCAGUGCUAGAGUGCAGAAAGGGCAAUCGGAAUUCUUGGUGUAGCGGUGAAAUGCGUAGAUAUCAGGAAGAACACCCGUGGCGAAAGCGGCUCUCUGGAACGGUACUGACGCUGAGACGCGAAAGCGUGGGGAGCGAACAGG
rnacentral:rRNA from 1 species